rnacentral:rRNA from 1 species
AUUGAACGCUGGCGGCAUGCCUUACACAUGCAAGUCGAACGGUAACGGGCCUUCGGGUGCCGACGAGUGGCGAACGGGUGAGUAAUACAUCGGAACGUGCCCGAUCGUGGGGGAUAACGAGGCGAAAGCUUUGCUAAUACCGCAUACGAUCUACGUAUGCAAGCAGGGGACCGCAAGGCCUUGCGCGGACGGAGCGGCCGAUGGCAGAUUAGGUAGUUGGUGGGAUAAAAGCUUACCAAGCCGACGAUCUGUAGCUGGUCUGAGAGGAUGAUCAGCCACACUGGGACUGAGACACGGCCCAGACUCCUACGGGAGGCAGCAGUGGGGAAUUUUGGACAAUGGGCGCAAGCCUGAUCCAGCCAUGCCGCGUGCAGGAUGAAGGCCUUCGGGUUGUAAACUGCUUUUGUACGGAACGAAAAGCCUUCUUUUAAUACAGGAGGGUCAUGACGGUACCGGAAGAAUAAGCACCGGCUAACUACGUG